GGGCCCGCACAAGCGGUGGAGCAUGUGGUUUAAUUCGAUGAUACGCGAGGAACCUUACCAGGGCUUAAAUGUAACGGGACAGAUCUAGAGAUAGAUCCUUCUUCGGACUCAUUACAAGGUGCUGCAUGGUUGUCGUCAGCUCGUGCCGUGAGGUGUCAGGUUAAGUCCUAUACGAGCGCAACCCCCAUCGUUAGUUGCCAACGAGUAAUGUCGGGAACUCUAACGAAACUGCCGGUGCAAACCGUGAGGAAGGUGGGGAUGACGUCAAAUCAUCACGGCCCUUACGUCCUGGGCUACACACGUGCUACAAUGGUCGGUACAGAGAGCAGCCACUACGCGAGUAGGAGCAAAUCUUUAAAGCCGAUCUCAGUUCGGAUCGGGGUCUGCAACUCGGCCCGUGAAGCUGGAAUCGCUAGUAAUCGGAUAU
rnacentral:rRNA from 1 species